rnacentral:vault_RNA from 1 species
GCGUUGGUGUGGCUCAGUGGUUACUUCCGAAUUCAAGCGAACUCCCCUCUCAUGUCCGCUGGGACACCGCGAGCAGAGAUCGAACCUCGGGCACUGUCCAACGUUUUC